rnacentral:misc_RNA from 1 species
AGUAAACAUAUAUCAAAGAGGAAAUAAGAAGAACUGACGCCUAUGGUUUUCUAUGUUACAGAGCUAGUGCUGCACCAUACGGCCAAAUGCCGAAGGUAGCUUGUGCUAGUAUAUACCUGCCUAUACGUUUCAAUGAGAAAAUCGAUAUUAUGUGUUUAUGUGAAAAUUCACAUUUCCCUAGGAGCUGUAUUUUGAUAGAUUUAAGCUUCUAAUGGAGCAUUUUAAACGUAUAGAGUAUACUAUGAAGUAGAUAGUAGUGCGGAUCAUUUUAUAUUCAUAGAAAAUUUGAAUGUAUAGAAAUGUACAAAAUGCUCAUGAUAUGCAAAAAUAUGCAAAAUAUUCAAAGUAAACCGAUCAUCAAAAAGUUUAGAAGUUUUUCCCAUAUUGGACUUAUUUCUAGCAGCCAUGCUUGCUUACAAAGCAAUUUUAUAUCCACGCAAGAAUAUUUUUCAGUAGAUUUUAUUAUGUGGUUUACAAUAUCCAUAUUCUCUAAUAACUGGUUGCUAAGGUAUAAUUUGAACAUACCAAGUCGAGUAACUUCAUUUGGUAAUGAUACGUAUAUUUUCUUUUCAAGAAAAAGUCUGCGUAAAGCUGCAUCAAUGUCCCUAAUAAUAUAUUUACAAUAAAUAUUAUUGUUCUGUUAUAUUAAUAAUAACAAAGGAAUAUUCCGCACAACGCAAUAAUUAAGAUUAAGAUAAUGAAUAAUUAUGAUAUUAAGAUAUUUUCUACUUAGAAAACAUUGAAAUAGGGUGAUAUACAUACCACGGGCAAUUAGUUGCAGCCAAA